AAUACUCUAGCUCAAUAACUUCCAACCCAACACCAGCAACCCACUACCCAUACCCUUUUAAUUGAUCCGCCCCAAUCCCUCUUUAAAAUUCUGGCUGUUGAUCUUUAAGAUCAACGUUUCACAAUCGACCUAUCCUUUUUAACUACCCAAACCCAAACCCUCCUCUAACCCGACCCCUUGAAACCUUUCGCCCUUCUCCGAAGAACCCUAAUUCCCGCCCUUCCCUAAUCUCUUUCCUAAUCCCUCCCCUAAUGGGAUUCUCCUCAUAUUUACUUGCCAUAUCAGUAUUUUCGCUACUGGUUGAUUCUUCAUGGUAUCACUUCAUACUUUCCUAAACAUGGCAAGUAUUACCUCUCCAAUUCUGUCCAAUCGAUUCCAAUCUUUUGAAUCUGGGCCAUAUCUCGUCUACACAAGUUCAAUACUAUAAUGUGUGAGUCCGAUCUCAUUUAGAUUUCUAUUGAUUUGCACUUUCCCUAAAAAAACUAGGGUUUACUGGAUUUCCCUCUUAAAUUGAUUUUAAAUUGAUUUUGCAUGUUUUCUUUCCUUAUUUGUUGUUUAAUUUACUCAGUUUCCUUAUUUGUUUUUUUUGUUUACUCAAUUUCCGUAUGUGUUUGUUAGAUUCACAUUGUUUUUCUUCACUAAAAUUGGGAUUUUUUCUACUCUUUUGUCGUUUAUUAGGUAUUGGACGGUUGAAAGCCAAGGUCAUAACACCUUGUUUCUUAACCUGUUCUUGGUGCGAGCAUUGCUUGAGUCGUCAAAGAUCUUGGGAACUUUGACGCGUUGGGAUUCUGGGUUUUUGUGGAAGUUUUUUCUUUACUCUUUUUAACUUGUGAGUUAACAGACCUUUGUAAAUUCGUCCCUAUGUAUCUGCAUUUUUGCAUAAGUUUUCACUUCUGAAGUUUGGUAGUUUAAUGAGUCUUCUAGUGUUUUUUUGUGCAAUUCUAUUUGUUCUACUUCAAUAUUAUUUUCCCUUAAUGUUUACUUCAUAUUGUUAAUAGUUCAAAGCAUGCCUAAACCUGAGUUUGAGUAAAUUAGAUUCCUUUCAAGUUCAUUUAGCAUAUCCGUUGCAAUUUACUGCUGUUUAGGACCUUUGCAUUUUCAGCUUCUCUUUAUUGUUUAAUUUUGCUUAAGGCUAUCAAUCUUGUUACCUGAACAUGCUUUACCUACAUAUAUUGUAUCCCUUUUUAACCGACUAGUCAAUUAUGUUCAAAAUAUGAGUAUGUACACUCACUAUAUGGAAAAAGUCUGUUUCCUAUCAUAUUCUGAAUUGUUGUGAUGAUAUCCUACCUAUAUAGCAUGUUUUGAUCUCCUUGACUUCCCAUUCUCGUCAUGCAUAAACUUACUGUUAAUUAAUAUGAUUCUUUCUUUUAACACUACGACCUAUAUAAUUUGAACCUUUUCCUUUAUUAUGAGCCUCUGUGUGCAACUUUCACCAAUCCUACAAACUUGUUCUAAUGAUGUGUGACUACUUAUGUACUAAGUGUUAAACUUGUUCUUCUGAAUCUUUGGUAAGUCUAUUCUAAAGCCCUAAGGCCUACUUGAUAAUCUACUGCUCAACUUGACUUUGUUUGUAUCCCUUUAGCUUUGUCUCACAACCUUGAUUUACUAUCCUGCACUUGUCAUCUGUGCUUUCUGGAGUUCUCAUUCUUAGCUGGCUGAAAGACAAGACUACCUAGGUUCUACUGUUGACCACCCUAGUAUGAGUACUUCUUGGGGUCCAAUUGAGACCCUUGUGAACUCUGACACACUAGGGCUUGGUCUUUUGUCAUUCCCUAAAUCUCAAACCACUCCUAUUCAUCCCAUUCUAUCAUGUUAUAUGUUGAAUACAUGAAUUGGCUGAGUUAAAUGGUACAACACUUGGUGCUAUGGUUGAAUAAAUUAACUUUGGGCUCCUUUAUGGAUUCUGGGGUUGUGUGACGGACAUGGGCCCAUAUAAGUGGUCUGGUAUGUUAUGUGAGAGUUACUGAAGGCCCAGACAAUGCUGGUAUUUUUACUUAAACCUAUUGUCGUUUUUGUGUAACAUUUGUAUUUUUACUCAUUAUCGAGCCUGUAAUAACCUAUGUAUAAACGAUUGGGGUGUUAGUAAAAAAGGAGAAUGGGUUAAUAUUUUGCACGUAAAAAUGGGUAGAUAAUAUGCUUAUAGGACUUGGAAAAUUUAGUUUCUAUAUGUGUAGUUCAAUUACUAUGUACAUUGUAGAAACCAUGCCAUUAAAGUAAGG
rnacentral:lncRNA from 1 species